rnacentral:rRNA from 1 species
UGAGGAAUAUUGGUCAAUGGGCGCAAGCCUGAACCAGCCAUGCCGCGUGCAGGAAGAAGCAUCUAUGGUGUGUAAACUGCUUUUGUACGGGAAGAAACACUCCCUCGUGAGGGAGCUUGACGGUACCGUAAGAAUAAGGAUCGGCUAACUCCGUGCCAGCAGCCGCGGUAAUACGGAGGAUCCAAGCGUUAUCCGGAAUCAUUGGGUUUAAAGGGUCCGUAGGCGGUUUAAUAAGUCAGUGGUGAAAGCC